rnacentral:rRNA from 1 species
CUUGAGACCGGCGCACGGGUGCGUAACGCGUAUGCAAUCUACCUUGUACAGAGGGAUAGCCCAGAGAAAUUUGGAUUAAUACCUCAUAGUAUUAUUGGAUGGCAUCAUUUAAUAAUUAAAGUUCCAACGGUACAAGAUGAGCAUGCGUCCUAUUAGCUAGUUGGUGUGGUAACGGCAUACCAAGGCUACGAUAGGUAGGGGUCCUGAGAGGGAGAUCCCCCACACUGGUACUGAGACACGGACCAGACUCCUACGGGAGGCAGCAGUGAGGAAUAUUGGACAAUGGGCGCAAGCCUGAUCCAGCCAUGCCGCGUGCAGGAAGACGCAUCUAUGGUGUGUAAACUGCUUUUGUACGGGAAGAAACACUCCCUCGUGAGGGAGCUUGACGGUACCGUAAGAAUAAGGAUCGGCUAACUCCGUGCCAGCAGCCGCGGUAAUACGGAGGAUCCAAGCGUUAUCCGGAAUCAUUGGGUUUAAAGGGUCCGUAGGCGGUUUAAUAAGUCAGUGGUGAAAGCCCAUCGCUCAACGAUGGAACGGCCAUUGAUACUGUUAGACUUGAAUUACAAGGAAGUAACUAGAAUAUGUAGUGUAGCGGUGCAAUGCUUAGAUAUUACAUGGAAUACCAAUUGCGAAGGCAGGUUACUACUUGUGGAUUGACGCUGAUGGACGAAGCGUGGGGAGCG